GACGAACGCUGGCGGCGUGCCUAAUACAUGCAAGUAGAACGCUGAAGGAGGAGCUUGCUUCUCUGGAUGAGUUGCGAACGGGUGAGUAACGCGUAGGUAACCUGCCUGGUAGCGGGGGAUAACUAUUGGAAACGAUAGCUAAUACCGCAUAAUAGUAGAUGUUGCAUGACAUUUGCUUAAAAGGUGCAAUUGCAUCACUACCAGAUGGACCUGCGUUGUAUUAGCUAGUUGGUGGGGUAACGGCUCACCAAGGCGACGAUACAUAGCCGACCUGAGAGGGUGAUCGGCCACACUGGGACUGAGACACGGCCCAGACUCCUACGGGAGGCAGCAGUAGGGAAUCUUCGGCAAUGGACGGAAGUCUGACCGAGCAACGCCGCGUGAGUGAAGAAGGUUGUCGGAUCGUAAAGCUCUGUUGUAAGAGAAGAACGAGUGUGAGAGUGGAAAGUUCACACUGUGACGGUAGCUUACCAGAAAGGGACGGCUAACUACGUG
rnacentral:rRNA from 1 species